rnacentral:lncRNA from 1 species
AAUCUCUCUAAUAAUCUGCAAUUUUUGCUUACGACUUCUAAAGUUAGACAUCGCCAAACUGAAUUUAAAAAAAAAAAAAAAAAUCUAUUGAAGAAUUCGGACUUCCGACAUGUUCCGUUCCGUUUUUCCUUACCAGUUGAAGUUUGAUCUGUGAUAUCGGUAUGCGUAACAUAAUACAAACUCUAUAGAAGGGUUAAAAAAAAGUAAAAAAAUGAAUUGAUUCUACGCCUUAAGAAUGGUCAUAUAGCUUUGAAGCGUCCUUGAGCGAGUUAGAAGGUCAGCGGAAGAAGAAGGUUCUCUUUUACGCCACUCGACUGUCUUAUAAAUCAGGUAACCUGUUUGCGAAGGUGGUGGUACACUAGCAAAAUUUCUCACAUAGACAUUCGUUACAGUACAAGUGCUGUUGCAGAUGUAUCGGAGGUCGUCUUGUGUAACUUGUCCAUAACCGAUUUAACUCUCUCACAUAUUCGCCAUUUGCCCUAGUUUAUUCUGUUCGCUUCGUUUACACGUACUAGACGUACUUGCCGAGGACCUGGACGUAGUUUCAGGGUCCAAAUCCGUCUGUAGCGACGUCAUCAAUAGGAGGUACUGUCCUAGUUUCUCUUUCAUAACCGUUUGAAAUUCGAUUCUUUGGAACCAGUUGGAUUUUUUUUAUGCAUCCGGCCCAUUAGUUAAGAAUCCAAUGGAUAAUUUAUCGAAGAAUUUAAACGUUUAAAUAUAUUUUUUUGUUUUUCGUUUUCAAUCCUACAAACACUCGUGUUCUGGCAGUAAUCGAGUUUAUGGAAACUCGAGGUCUUUCGACCAAAAUACAUUUUUUUUUAAGCGUUAAAAGAUUAUUUGGACAACGAGUGUCGAGCAAAUAAGCAAAAAUGUGCUGUGUGGCCUUCUACAAUAAUUCCUUUCACGUUAAAUGGGACAAUUAUAUUAAAUUAAAACCGAAUUAGGUUCAAAGGGAAUGAACAGAUGUAAUCCUAAUACUGGGGAUGUUAUUGCGUUUCAGUUAACAGAUCUUAUGCCAAAGAAGAAAAAUCGUUUUAACCCAAAAUACAGUUUUAGUCGCCCCGCCGUGUUUACACUUGCCAAUUCCUAUCUUCAGCGAAAGGGGGAAUAAAAAAAAAGAAAAAAUAGGAGGGGGAUAAUUCUCACGUGCCUGCCAACUCUCUAGACAUAUUUAUUUAACCUUAAGUUGUCAGACCGAAUGGUAUCGUCCUCUAAGUCGCUAAAAGCUACAUAAAAUGCUUCACAUCCCCCUUCGCAGCAUGCCAGUCGAGCUGAUACGUUAUCUUUGAGGAUAAGUAAAAGGGUUAAAGGUGUCCUUGAAAACGUACGCGUUGCUUUGUAUCAAUGGUGGAUGAUGGAUAUUAUAAUGGCGAUGACAAUUUUUCAUUUAUUUGGAAAUAAAUUAUAUACUCUCGAAUUAAUUUGCAAUAUUUUUCACAAAGAUUUAAUUAAAUAUUGGCUAACAGAUGCCACUUAUGACAUUGAAGUGUACCUCAUAGAUUUAAUGAUAAUCUUUCUUGUUCGAAGUGAGAUCUCUGUUUUCUCCACUAGUCUACUAGCAGUCUGACCUAGACUACUGAUUGAUGGCUGCUGUAGUUUUUCAGGCUGUUAUCUUUCGGAAUGAAAACAGGAAAUGAGCUAACUGUUCGGGAAUUCUAAAGAAAAACAUUUUGCGAAAUUUCUUAGAUAAAAUUUUACGAACUUCCGUCAUUAAUCAUUUAAAAAAAAAAAAAACAAAAUAUGUUUCUAAGGUCGUACUAAAGAGAUACGCGUUAAAUUUCUCGAGAUUAACGUAGCAUUUGUAUAUCUGUUCAUUUUUUAGAGUAGCCCAGAUGCGACGUCUUUCGGAUAUAUAAAAUAGCAGUUUUGCAAAGUGUAAACUCGAAAUAUCCAGCACGCAAUCAGGCAUCAUUCGGAGUUAGAAGAAGAAAAUAAUAAUAAUAAAAAACAAUAUAUAGAAAGCAAAACUAUUCUUUUACUCUCUCUCUCUCUCUCUCUUAAGCCGCAUCUUUUUUUGGAAGAGAAAACGGUUUAUUCUCGCGAGAUUCCUUCCAUUGUGAAGCGUGUUUAACCCGUCUGCGAAUAUCAAUCGAUUGCUGUUCCUGAGGGAAUCUCCGGACAAACUGCUCAAACGAUGCUCCACAACCUAUUCAAUACUUCAUUGUCCCCCGUUAACUCGCUCGGUUUCGGUUGUAAGAUUCUUCUGUUCUUUUUUUUUUCUGUUACUUUUUCUGCAUCCCGUCGGAAAGGAUUUAGUCAAAUGUUGCAUUUUAUGGUUAUGUUCUAUUACUUUCACCAAAAUAUUUCCUGAAGAAUUGGACUCUGCAACCAUAGUAUGUUAACUCAACUUCUUACCAAAUGCAUAACGAUAUUCCACCCAUAGAAAGUAUCCAAUUUAAGAUUUAUCCUCGAAUACCACGUUGCAUUACUACUAUCUAUCAUUGCAUCCCCAGUUUUCAUUAAACUGUGCUAUCCCGCAUUUGUUUAAAAUGUUACUAUUAUAGUGCAUUUUAAACAAAUGCUACUUCAAUCUGUAAACUCUGUCAGAAGUAAACGAAAUCUCUUAUCUGCCGAUAAAAAAUUUAAAGUUUUG